UACGUAGGUGACCAGCGUUGUCCGGAUUUACUGGGCGUAAAGAGCGCGCAGGCGGUCGUUCAAGUCGAGUGUGAAAGCCCCCGGCUCAACUGGGGAGGGUCACUCGAUACUGAUCGACUUGAAGGCAGGAGAGGGAAGCGGAAUUCCCGGUGUAGUGGUGAAAUGUGUAGAGAUCAGGAGGAACACCGGUGGCGAAGGCGGUUCUCUGGGCCUUACCUGACGCUGAGGAGCGAAAGCGUGGGGGAGCGAACAGG
rnacentral:rRNA from 1 species